rnacentral:rRNA from 1 species
UACGGAGGGGGCUAGCGUUGUUCGGAAUUACUGGGCGUAAAGCGCACGUAGGCGGCUUUGUAAGUUAGAGGUGAAAGCCCGGGGCUCAACUCCGGAAUUGCCUUUAAGACUGCAUCGCUAGAAUUGUGGAGAGGUAAGUGGAAUUCCGAGUGUAGAGGUGAAAUUCGUAGAUAUUCGCAGGAACACCAGUGGCGAAGGCGGCUACCUGGACAGAUACUGACACUGAGGCGCGAGAGCGUGGGGAGCAAACAGG